rnacentral:tRNA from 1 species
ACAAGCGUAGCUCAGUCGGUAGAGCAUCUGACUUUUAAUCUCUGGGUCAACGGUUCGACUCCCUAUGAUGGCG